UACAGAGGUCCCAAGCGUUGUUCGGAUUCACUGGGCGUAAAGGGUGCGUAGGCGGUCGGGUAAGUCUGAUGUGAAAUCUCGAAGCCUAACUUCGAAACUGCAUUGGAUACUAUUCGGCUAGAGGAGUGGAAGGGAGACUGGAAUGCUCGGUGUAGCAGUGAAAUGCGUAGAUAUUCGCAAGAACACCAGUGGCGAAGGCGGCUCACUGGCCCGGUACUGACGCUGAGGUGCGAAAGCGUGGGGAGCAAACAGG
rnacentral:rRNA from 1 species